AUGGCCGACGUUCAGCUGAAUCUAGACGGCGGGGCGACGGCGGUGGAGGCAGAGCCUGUCGAGUGCAGUAGGCGUGUGUUCAUAUGCCUAGUGGGUUGCCUCACCGUCACGCUCGGCGUCAUCCUAGCAUGGAUGUUCGUGUACGAGAAAUCCUGUCGGCCAUUGUCGACCGCGGCCAAGCUCUUCGUCGUGCUUCUGACCGGCGCUGUCUCAUUCUGCUUUGCCCGCUCUUUCGGCAAGUUUGCUCUUCUCCUUGUCGAGUGGUACCACGGCAAUCCCGAGGGAGAGAGGCUUGUGGAUAGCUUGAUCCAAUCCGAUCGGCCCUUGAUCAACAUGUUGUAG
rnacentral:rRNA from 1 species